rnacentral:rRNA from 1 species
GAUGAACGCUGGCGGCGUGCCUAAUACAUGCAAGUCGAGCGAACGGACGAGAAGCUUGCUUUUCUGAUGUUAGCGGCGGACGGGUGAGUAACACGUGGAUAACCUACCUAUAAGACUGGGAUAACUUCGGGAAACCGGAGCUAAUAUCGGAUAAUAUUUUGAACCGCAUGGUUCAAAAGUGAAAGACGGUCUUGCUGUCACUUAUAGAUGGAUCCGCGCUGCAUUAGCUAGUUGGUAAGGUAACGGCUUACCAAGGCAACGAUGCAUAGCCGACCUGAGAGGGUGAUCGGCCACACUGGAACUGAGACACGGUACAGACUCCUACGGGAGGCAGCAGUAGGGAAUCUUCCGCAAUGGGCGAAAGCCUGACGGAGCAACGCAGCGUGAGUGAUGAAGGUCUUCGGAUCGUAAAACUCUGUUAUUAGGGAAGAACAUAUGUGUAAGUAACUGUGCACAUCUUGACGGUACCUAAUCAGAAAGCCACGGCUAACUACGUG